GACGAACGCUGGCGGCGUGCCUAAUACAUGCAAGUCGAGCGGACAGAAGGGAGCUUGCUCCCGGAAGUUAGCGGCGGACGGGUGAGUAACACGUGGGCAACCUACCCUGUAGAACGGGAUAACAUCGAGAAAUCGGUGCUAAUACCGGAUAAUCAUUUGAAGUGCAUGCUUCGAAUGUAAAAGAUGGCUCCGGCUAUCACUACGGGAUGAGCCCGCGGCGCAUUAGCUAGUUGGUAAGGUAAUGGCUUACCAAGGCAACGAUGCGUAGCCGACCUGAGAGGGUGAUCGGCCACACUGGGACUGAGACACGGCCCAGACUCCUACGGGAGGCAGCAGUAGGGAAUCUUCCGCAAUGGACGAAAGUCUGACGGAGCAACGCCGCGUGAGUGAUGAAGGUUUUCGGAUCGUAAAGCUCUGUUGUUAGGGAAGAACAAGUGCCGUUUGAAUAAGGCGGCACCUUGACGGUACCUAACCAGAAAGCCACGGCUAACUACGUGCCAGCCGCCGCCGUAAGAC
rnacentral:rRNA from 1 species